rnacentral:rRNA from 1 species
AACGAACGCUGGCGGCAGGCUUAACACAUGCAAGUCGAGCGCCCCGCAAGGGGAGCGGCAGACGGGUGAGUAACGCGUGGGAACGUACCUUUUGGUUCGGAACAACUCCGGGAAACUGGAGCUAAUACCGGAUAAGCCCUAACGGGGAAAGAUUUAUCGCCGAAAGAUCGGCCCGCGUCUGAUUAGCUAGUUGGUGAGGUAACGGCUCACCAAGGCGACGAUCAGUAGCUGGUCUGAGAGGAUGAUCAGCCACACUGGGACUGAGACACGGCCCAGACUCCUACGGGAGGCAGCAGUGGGGAAUAUUGGACCAUGGGCGCAAGCCUGAUCCAGCCAUGCCGCGUGAGUGAUGAAGGCCUUAGGGUUGUAAAGCUCUUUUGUCCGGGAAGAUAAUGACUGUACCGGAAGAAUAAGCCCCGGCUAACUUCGUG